GACAGAGGGUGCAAACGUUGUUCGGAAUUACUGGGCGUAAAGCGAGUGUAGGCGGUCUGAAAAGUCGGGUGUGAAAGCCCCGGGCUCAACCCGGGAAGUGCACUCGAAACUGCCAGGCUAGAGUAUCGGAGAGGUUGGUGGAAUUCUCGGUGUAGAGGUGAAAUGCGUAGAGAUCGGGAGGAACACCAGAGGCGAAAGCGGCGACCUGGACAGGUACUGACACUCAACUACGAAAGCGUGGGGAGCAAACAGG
rnacentral:rRNA from 1 species